CCUACGGGUGGCAGCAGUGGGGAAUUUUGGACAAUGGGCGCAAGCCUGAUCCAGCCAUGCCGCGUGAGGGAAGAAGGCCUUCGGGUUGUAAACCUCUUUCGGCCGGGACGAAAUCGCACGGGUGAAUAAUCCGUGUGGAUGACGGUACCGGAAGAAGAAGCACCGGCUAACUACGUGCCAGCAGCCGCGGUAAUACGUAGGGUGCGAGCGUUAAUCGGAAUUACUGGGCGUAAAGCGUGCGCAGGCGUAGACUCCCCGAGCUUAACUUGGGAAUGGCGUUUGGGACUGGGUCUCUGGAGUGCGGCAGAGGGAACUGGAAUUCCAGGUGUAGCAGUGAAAUGCGUAGAUAUCUGGAGGAACACCGAUGGCGAAGGCAGGUUCCUGGGCCAGCACUGACGCUCAUGCACGAAAGCGUGGGGAGCAAACAGGAUUAGAUACCCGAGUAGUC
rnacentral:rRNA from 1 species